AGGAUUAACGCUGGCGGCGUGCCUAACACAUGCAAGUCGAACGAGGGGGGCAACCCCCGAGUGGCAGACGGGUGAGUAACGCGUGGUCAACCUACCCUAGAGUGGGGAAUAACUAGCCGAAAGGUUAGCUAAUACCGCAUGAUACGUUUUGGGACAUCCCAGGACGUUGAAAGGAGCAAUCCGCUCGAGGACGGGACCGCGUCCGAUUAGCUAGUUGGUGAGGUAACGGCCCACCAAGGCUCCGAUCGGUAGCUGGUUUGAGAGAGCGACCAGCCACACUGGGACUGAGAAACGGCCCAGACUCCUACGGGAGGCAGCAGUGAGGAAUUUUCCGCAAUGGGCGAAAGCCUGACGGAGCGACGCCGCGUGUGGGAAGAAGGCCUUGGGUCGUAAACCACUGUCGAAGGGGACUAUACUGAAGGUACCCUUGGAGGAAGCCCCGGCUAACUACGCGCCAGCAGCCGC
rnacentral:rRNA from 1 species